CGCUCUGCGCACGCGCCUACAGCCGCCGCGGCCCUCCGUAGCUAAAGCGCCCUCAGCCCGUCGGUCACCCCGCGGCGGCAUUGUUGGUCUCGGUGCUGCGCUUGCGCGGCUCCCUCCGCGCGCCCAACGCUAGGCUGGCGCAUGCGCCCCCUUCGAGGCAGCGCCUGGCUCUGAGUGGGGUUUUCCGUGCGUUCGUGUCCUCUUGCCCUUCCUCGCUCCCCUCCCAGUUUCGCCCAGACUUCCCCCACGGGCCAGAGGCGUUUGAACGAAGGGCAAGGGACACAGCGGGGAGGUCAUGAGCGAACCGCUGCGUCCUCUGCGCCGCGCGACGGGGCUGUCGACCCGGAGGGGUCGCCCCGGUAGGUGACUUCCGGCCCAGUGGCAGGUAGCGGCCAAAGCGCCGGGCGCAGCCGGGCACCUGCUGGGCGGUUGCCCGGAGCGGGUCCCAGGCGUCCGCUCGGCCGAUCUUCCGCUCUACUUGUUCCGGCGUCUGUCCUGCCGCUCCAGCCGCGACGUCCCAGGCCUCCCCCCACUUCGCUUUGGGACCUCUCAAGCUGGUAGCAGCCUGCGUGGCCUGAUCAGUAACAAGAAUCUUGAAGGUCUAAGGCUGAGUGACAGAGCCAGUCUCAGAAGAUGAUAUACUGCGUGGUUUCAUCUGUAUGACACGGAUGAAACGAAACUAGUGGAGGAGAGCAGGGAAGCAUUUAGAAACCAGUCUCACAGCAGAGGCUUUCGGACCAUGUUCAUUGAAGCCCUCAGGGCUGGACUGAGGUGGGACGUAAAGCCCUUCACCACUCCUUCAGCCAGGGUGGCUCUGCUUUACCCGCAUUGGAAUUCAAGGUGCAUAUUUUUUGAAGAGCAAUAUUGGCAACGGUAACGUUACAAUGUUUUCAGGAUAAAACAAUCAUGACUAUUGGAUAUGAAGGAUUUGGAUCUUGAUUUCCUGUUUGCCUGUGUCUUAGAGUGCAGUGAGAUUUUUCCAAGGAAGAUGUAGAUCCUGCCUCAGGUAUGUCCAUGGUCAUCUCCCUUGCACAGGUAGAGACGUAUUCUGUUAACGAGUGUAUCCUGGUCACACCUCUUAACUUUUGUUAUGGGAUGUUGGACCUUCUGACUGCAGCUGACUGCCGUCAUUAGUUUCUACCCGUACUGUACAAUAGACAAUACUCGUACUUCUCAGAGA